rnacentral:rRNA from 1 species
UACGUAUGGAGCAAGCGUUAUCUGGAUUUACUGGGUGUAAAGGGAGUGUAGGUGGCCAUGCAAGUCAGAAGUGAAAAUCCGGGGCUCAACCCCGGAACUGCUUUUGAAACUGUAAGGCUGGAGUGCAGGAGGGGUGAGUGGAAUUCCUAGUGUAGCGGUGAAAUGCGUAGAUAUUAGGAGGAACACCAGUGGCGAAGGCGGCUCACUGGACUGUAACUGACACUGAGGCUCGAAAGCGUGGGGAGCAAACAGG